AUGGAGCUGGGUGAGGGGCUGCUGUCUGCAGUGUUGGCCUCUGCACCCCACCCACAGCCUCCCACGGCACCCCCUCCCCAUGUCCCCUUUGUCCUCCUCUGUCUUCCUUUUUACUCUAAUGAGAACAGCUUCCAUUUGCUAUUUGUUGACUGAGUCCGGCACUGCACUAAGCUCUCUCUACAUUUUGUCUUAGUGCUUGCAAGCACUUUAUAAGGAAUAUGUGAGUAUUGUGCCACUUUUACAUAUCAGGGAACGUAUGAACACAUCAGGUUGCUCAGCAAUGAAGUGGAAGAGCCUCGAUAGCCCUUUGGGCACAGAUCUGUGUGCCUCCAAAACCCAUGCUCUGAGCACUGAUAACCUCUACCUCUCUUCCUCCCCUUGUCAGCAUCAGCACUCCCCCUUCCCUUUCCUCAUCCGUACUGCAUCUCAGAGCCAACUUCAGCUAGUGCCUCUCCCUUCAGAAACACCUCCGGGAAAUACCUCCUCCCAGAUCACCCCUGCCAGAACCAGCAACACCCAUGAGUAGAGCACAUGGGUCUGCAGAUUGGCAAAGACCAAAAGAACUGAUUACCAUACAAGGAGUGGCUAUGGUGGUGAGAUUUUUCCUCUGUAAACCAUGGCAGUGGUAGCUGGCAAAGGUUUGGUGAAAUAGGCAUUGGCGUACAUUGUUGAUGGGAAUGGCACAUGCAGUGUUAAAGGGAAUUUAACAAUAUCUGUAAAAUUUUUUUGAUAUACUUCAAUUUUGACCCAGCAAUUCUGCCUCUAGGAAAUUAUCCAACACAUAAAUGUGCAUGUGCAAAAUGACAUAUACACAAAUAUUUACUGCAGCAUUAUCUCAGCAAAAGGCUAGAGAUAACCCGAAUGUCCAUCAGAAGGGGACUGGUUAAAUAAAUUAUGGUAUAUCCGUACAAUGGAAUAUUAAGCAAUCUUAAAAUAAUGAGGACUUCAAAAA